rnacentral:rRNA from 1 species
UACGGAGGAUGCAAGCGUUAUCCGGAAUGAUUGGGCGUAAAGCGUCCGCAGGUGGCUGUGUAAGUCUGCUGUUAAAGAGUCAUGCUCAACAUGAUAAGAGCAGUGGAAACUACACGGCUAGAGUGCGUUCGGGGCAGAGGGAAUUCCUGGUGUAGCGGUGAAAUGCGUAGAGAUCAUGAGGAAGACCAGUGGCGAAGGCGGGUCUCUGGACAGUUCCUGACACUGAGACACGAAGGCCAGGGGAGCAAACAGG